CGUAGGGUGCAAGCGUUAAUCGGAAUUACUGGGCGUAAAGCGUGCGCAGGCGGUUUUGUAAGACAGGCGUGAAAUCCCCGGGCUCAACCUGGGAAUUGCGCUUGUGACUGCAAAGCUGGAGUGCGGCAGAGGGGGAUGGAAUUCCGCGUGUAGCAGUGAAAUGCGUAGAUAUGCGGAGGAACACCGAUGGCGAAGGCAAUCCCCUGGGCCUGCACUGACGCUCAUGCACGAAAGCGUGGGGAGCAAACAGGAUUAGAUACCCUGGUAGUCCACGCCCUAAACGAUGUCAACUGGUUGUUGGGUCUCUUCUGACUCAGUAACGAAGCUAACGCGUGAAGUUGACCGCCUGGGGAGUACGGCCGCAAGGCUG
rnacentral:rRNA from 1 species